GUGGGGAAUAUUGGACAAUGGGCGAAAGCCUGAUCCAGCCAUGCCGCGUGUGUGAAGAAGGUCUUCGGAUUGUAAAGCACUUUAAGUUGGGAGGAAGGGCAGUAAGUUAAUACCUUGCUGUUUUGACGUUACCGACAGAAUAAGCACCGGCUAACUUCGUGCCAGCAGCCGCGGUAAUACGAAGGGUGCAAGCGUUAAUCGGAAUUACUGGGCGUAAAGCGCGCGUAGGUGGUUUUGUAAGUUGGAGGUGAAAUCCCCGGGCUCAACCUGGGAACUGGCUCCAAAACUGCAUGACUAGAGUACGGUAGAGGGUAGUGGAAUUUCCUGUGUAGCGGUGAAAUGCGUAGAUAUAGGAAGGAACACCAGUGGCGAAGGCGACUACCUGGACUGAUACUGACACUGAGGUGCGAAAGCGUGGGGAGCAAACAGGAUUAGAAACCCUUGUAGUCC
rnacentral:rRNA from 1 species